AGAGAUAUGACGAUACUUUCCCCAUAUGAUCGAAGUUGAUUCCAACUUUGCUAUUUAGAUAAUUCAUUCCCCGUUAAGGGGAUUGAGUUUCCAAGCCAGGACUCUGAUCUUU